AGGGCGGUAUUAGUCAUAAACUGCACCUAUACGAGGAAUAAAAUAAAAAGAAAAAAUCAAUCUGCCUUGAUCAAGAUUGACUGGGACAGAGGA
rfam:Bacillus hemicellulosilyticus JCM 9152 DNA, contig:contig_2.